CAGUAGCUGAGUGGUAGAUCAUCUGCCUUGGAUGCAGAAGUUCCUAGGUUCAGUCCCUAACAUAUCAAGG